rnacentral:rRNA from 1 species
GACGAACGCUGGCGGCGUGCUUAACACAUGCAAGUCGAACGGAAGGGCCCUGCUUUUGUGGGGUGCUCGAGUGGCGAACGGGUGAGUAACACGUGAGUAACCUGCCCUUGACGGUGGGAUAACUUCAGGAAACUGGGGCUAAUACCUGAUAGGAGCUCCUGCUGCAUGGUGGGGGUUGGAAAGUUUCGGCGGUUGGUGAGGGACUCGCGGCUUAUCCGCUUGGUGGUUGGGUAGUGUCUUAGCAAGGCUUUGACGGGUAGCCGGCCUGGGAGGGUGACCGGCCACAUUGGGACUGAGAUACGGCCCGGACUCCAACGGGAGGCAGCAGUGGGGAAUAUUGUACAAUGGGCGGAAGCCAGAUGUAGCAAAGCCGCGUGGGGGAUGACGGCCUUCGGGUUGUAAACCGCUUUCGCCUGUGACGAAGAGUGAGUGACGGUAAUGGGUAGAGAAGCACCGGCUAACUACGUG